GGAGCCGGCCAGGCGACCGCGGCGCGGUGCCCGCAACGCUGGGGCGUCGCGUCGAGGAAAGUCCGGACUCCGCAGGGCAGGACGCUGGGUAACGCCCAGGCGCGGCGACGCGCGGACAGUGCCACAGAGAGCAGACCGCCAGGGGCCCAGCGGCCCGGCCCACGCGGCCGGGUCACCGGGUACCGGUGAGGGUGAAAGGGUGCGGUAAGAGCGCACCGGCGCCGGCGGCGACGCUGGCGGCCAGGUAAACCCCGUCCGGAGCAAGGCCAAGCAGGUGCGUCGACGUGGCCCGCCGAGCACCAGGUAGGCCGCACGAGGCCGGCGGCGACGCCGGUCCCAGAUGGAUGGUCGCCCCCCGGCCGCACGGCCGGGACAGAAUCCGGCUUAUCGGCCGGCUCCCCCU
rnacentral:RNase_P_RNA from 1 species